CAGCCCCAAGCAAUGUGAAUGAAUUGUGUGGUCCUGUUGUUUAAUCCCCCGCGUUCUGCAGACUCAUGGCAGAGAAAUAGUUUCCUUUGUUCGGAAAGAAUGAAGAACAAACACAGGUGGCUGACGCUCAAGUGAGGAAGUAAUACAGAAAGAAGAAAGAGCAAGAGGAUAUUGGGAACCGAAGAAAGGCAGAUGGCAGUGGAAAAGAGAUACGAGGAAACUAAACUCAAUGAACAGGACUGCCUGAA